GGUACUGCAGGGCGGGAGCCGCGGCGACGCUUUCCUGGACGGCCGCGUCGGUCCCGCCCGUGCGGGCCUGCGGUGCCCGGGAGCAGCGUGGGUGGCGAGACGAUGGAGGAGCCGAGCGCUUGCUGUGGCUGCGGCCGCGUGGAAGGUAAUUGGGAAGAGUGGGACAAGAACUGAAGGAUAACUUCUUGUCAGCCUGGCUCAGAAGCAGCAAAUUGUGGUGGAAGAAUAUCCAUGAAUACAUCUGAGAUGAUGAUCUACAGUUUUAAAACAAAUCUGGAAAGGAAAAACCACAUUAUUUUGAAGGAAAACCUCAGGUGGAACACGUGAGAAAGAUUUCUAGCUUCGAAGAAAUCUCUCAUCAAAUAAUAUGUUGAUGUUAGUUUUUUGUUAGUUUUUUUUUUACAUAAGCAAAGCAUCUGAAAACAGUCCAGGAAUGUUACAGGAGGUUAGUGAGGAGCUGAGGACGCACUUGGAAUUGCUGUGACCUUGUCUCCUGCUCCGGCACUCACAGCUGGUUGUCUCAGGAUGGUUUGGCUGAAGUUGAAAUUGCCACUUUCUGCAGAGCUGCAUCAAUAUUCUUCAGUUCUAAUGGAGGAUUGUCCUGUGGUGUUGGCUUUUUAACAGCUUUAGUUUUGCCUAAGAAAGAGCAUCGUAGUCUGGUGUUCAGCUGGAAUAGUGCCUCUGGUCCCUUUCGAAAGGAGGAGCUGGAGCUUGCAUUUCUCUCUCUUACUUGGUGCUAAAGAAGAGUGCUGAAGGUGCCUGCAAAAGCAGGACUGGGUGCUCUGGAAGUCAGGAGUGGUUGUGAUUUUAUAUCCUGGUUUUGGUUGGGACAUUGAGCAGGCGUACCAUACUGAUUUAUUUGAUCUCCUUUGACUCUCCUGGUUGAAAUAAAAGUGCCAUUCCCCUCUCUCCCUUCCAUAA